rnacentral:rRNA from 1 species
AGGCCAGGUGUGGAAGAGCCGUGAGGUUUGGAGCUGACUGGUACUAAUCGAUCGAGGGCUUUACUUAAACA